UACGAAGGGUGCAAGCGUUACUCGGAAUUACUGGGCGUAAAGCGUGCGUAGGCGGUUUGUUAAGUCCGUUGUGAAAGCCCCCGGCUCAACUGGGGAGGGUCACGCGAUACUGCUCGACUUGAAGGCAGGAGAGGGAAGUGGAAUUCCCGGUGUAGUGGUGAAAUGCGUAGAUAUCGGGAGGAACACCAGUGGCGAAGGCGACUUCCUGGUCUGUUCUUGACGCUGAGGCGCGAAAGCUAGGGUAGCAAACGGG
rnacentral:rRNA from 1 species